AGCGGGAUGCGGGCAAACAUUGAGGCCCGCUACACUUUUCUCACCGAGAACAGAGCUCCAUCAGGUUGUGGGCUCUAAGUGGCGGAGUUCUAAGUCACAAUUCUUCACCAAAGUGGUUUGUUUGGUACAGGGGAGUACCAGCUUCACAGCAGAACCUUGAAGACUGAUGAAAUUUGUGCAGAUUCAAGAUAUCAUUUUGAUCUAAUCGUGACUUGUGGUUCACGAAACCAUUUGAGGUCCUUUGUAGUCAUAAGCUAUAGUUAAGAAUUCCUUUGUUCUUGGUCCCACGAGACAUGACUGUUGGACAUUUCAUUCACAUGCUAAGCAAUAGACUACACCGAACUAUAUCCAAAGCUCUGUUUGUUUUAGUACAGAACACACUUCCUCAACAGGUACCUAAUUAUCCAGCAUCCAUGUUCAAAAAAUCUAUUAAUAAUGCAUUUACUCUUAUCUUUCUUCUCUACAGCUGCUCCCAUGGACUCUUUGAACAAUACUGCCGUCUCCAAGCCCAGCUUCAAAAGCAUAGGAGAUGAGAGCAUGCUUAAGAUCACUAAAACGAAACCACAAGUAUAAUGAACCGAUGUCCCGCGGGCCGACCCGCAAAGCCCAUGUACUAUGCGGGGCGGGAUUGGUCAGCCCUCGACAAGACCGCAUCCCGCGCGGGCCUGUCCCGCUGAGACCCAUUUGAACUGAAGACCGCGGCGGGGCGGGACGGGACGGGACAGGAAGACCCAAUUGCCAUCUCUAG